AUUCUUGCGCAGUGGCAGUAUCGUAGCCUAUGAGGUUUAUCCGAGGCGCGAUUAUUGCUAGUUGAAAACUUUAACCAAUUCCCGCCUUGACGACUUGAAAUAUCGUCGGCUUGCUACCAAAACCGCCUAAGUCCGAUUUUG